rnacentral:rRNA from 1 species
AGAUUGAACGCUGGCGGCAUGCUUUACACAUGCAAGUCGAACGGUAACGCGGGGGCAACCCUGGCGACGAGUGGCGAACGGGUGAGUAAUACAUCGGAACAUGUCCUGGAGUGGGGGGAUAGCUCGGCGAAAGCCGGAUUAAUACCGCAUACGCUCUGAGGAGGAAAGCGGGGGACUCGUAAGGGCCUCGCGCUGCAGGAGUGGCCGAUGUCGGAUUAGCUAGUUGUGAGGUAAGGCUCACCAAGGCGACGAUCCGUAGCUGGUCUGAGAGGAUGAUCAGCCACACUGGGACUGGGACACGGCCCAGACUCCUACGGGAGGCAGCAGUAGGGAAUUUGGACAAGUGGGGGCAACCCGUGAUCCAGCCAGUGCCGCGUGAGGUGAAGAA